rnacentral:rRNA from 1 species
AACGAACGCUGGCGGCAUGCCUAACACAUGCAAGUCGAACGAUCCCUCCGGGGAUAGUGGCGCAUGGGUGUGUCAAGCGUGGGAACCUGCCCUUAGGCUUGGAAUACCUCAGUGAAAUUUGAGAUAACAUCGGAAAAUGUCUUCGAACCAAAGAUUGAUCGCCUUUGUAUGGGCCCGCGUUGGUUUAGCUUGUUGGUGGGGUAAAGGCCUAUCACGGCGACGAUCCAUAGCUGGGUAGAGAGGAUGACCAGCCACACUUGGACGGAGACACGGCCCAGACUCCUACGGGAGGCAGCAGUGGGGAAUAUUGGACAAUGGGCUGAGUCCUGAUCCAGCAAUGCCGCGUGAGUGAUGAAGGCCUGAGGGUUGUAAAGCUCUUUUACCCGGGAUGAUAAUGACAGUACCGGGAGAAUAAGCCCCGGCUAACUCCGUG